UACCCACCCAUUCCAGAUUGAGCCAAUUGCAAAGAUUUGUUUUGUACCCCAUGGGGGAUUCCAACAUACACUGCAAGGGGAAAUAGAUGUCAGAAAUGCAGUGUUUUAUCACUGUAAGCUAUCUGUCCAGAACCAUAUUUGCUUGCAAUGCACAUCAUUGUAUUAUCAAAUCAUGCCAGUGGACUUCUGGUGAAGCUUAUGGGCAUCCUGCCUACACUGGACCUGAACAACCAUAUCCCAAGAAAGUGUGGUGUCUGGUCCAAAUGCUAAAGCUACUGGCCACAAUACCCUGGCAAGUGUGACGCAGGGUCCAAAUGCCACAGCUGAAGCAACUGCCAACCAUGCCUCUGCAGAAGCAGCCCGAGCCUCAGCUGAAGCAACUGCCAACCAUACCUCUGCAGAAGCGGCCGCCGGCCUCCGGCCUUGAACAAACGGCCCGACCCCUCGACAAGCUAGAUAGGGAGAUCAUAAUUUGGUUUGCCCAACUCCUUAAUCGUCUUUCCCCUGUUGCUGUGCCUCCAUUUGAAGAAACUUAUGCAUCGUCAUGCAAAUUGUUUACAGGGGUGAACACUACAAUGGUAUGAAUUGUUUUCAUAACCAUACGACUAAAAUUUACAUCUGAUUUGGCCUGGUGUUCCUGCUACUCUUGCAUGAUUUGUUCAGUAAACAAUUUGACUUUCAAAAUGAUGUGUCUUUUAAAUGUGGGUUUCUCUUCUGUC